UACAGAGGGGGCAAGCGUUAUUCGGAAUUAUUGGGCGUAAAGGGCGCGUAGGCGGCCUGGCAAGUGGAAGGUGAAAUCCCUCGGCUUAACCGAGGAACUGCCCUCCAAACUGCUUGGCUUGAGUCCGGGAGAGGUGAGUGGAAUUCCCAGUGUAGCGGUGAAAUGCGUAGAGAUGUGGAGGAACACCAGUGGCGAAGGCGACUCUUUGGUCUGUAACUGACGCUGAGGCGCGAAAGCGUGGGGAGCAAACAGGG
rnacentral:rRNA from 1 species